GAAAAGCAAUCUGGACAUCAGUUGGAGUACAAUAUGCAAGCAAAUGUGAGAAGGAGCGAAUGUAGAGUUUUCAAAGCCAGUUUUGAUUCUUGGCUUGGGACUUAGAUUUUAUUGUAGAGAUACUUUUUAGCUUUCCGAAACAUCUUGAAUCAUCUCAAUCAGAGUUUAUAUGCGAGAUUUAUGACCUUUGUACCAACGAACAUUUAACCUCAAAGUUUAGAGUUGGCACCCAUUUACAUAGC
rnacentral:lncRNA from 1 species